CGGCUGUCGUCCACUGGGUACGGGAGCGAGAGCCGCAGCCGGUAGUCGGGUUUCCUUGAGUCGAGGCACAGCCGCUUUCCCGACACCUCCAGCGCCGCCUGCUCGGCCGAGCGCAACAACGGCAGCUCGAUGGGUCUUGGCAUUCCUGCGGUCCAGCUUCACGCCGAACUGCUUCUCGACGGCCUCCAGUGCCGUGGCGUCCAGCAUCUGGCGGAAGCGCUCGUGGCGCCGGGCCAGCGCGAGCGCGUCUGGGUGGAAGACCACGUCGUAGACCGUGUAGCGGGUGCCUCGGCCCCCCGCGUACUCGCGGCCGGGAGCCAGGCUGUAGGGCAGGGACCACUGGCUGCCGGCCGCCGCGCCCCUGGGGCCGGGUCGGCCGCUGGGCGCGCCCACCAGCGCGUUGCUGCACACGUUCACGAAGCAGCGGCGCGCCCCGUCGAGGCUAGUGCGCAGUACGUGACCCGGCUGCGGGUGCACGAACCGCACGUCCACCCCGCGCUCACGCUCCAGCGCGGUGAUCUCCGCCUCGUAGCGCCGCCGGUUCUCCGGGUCCGUGAGCUCCUCGGCGUACUCGGUGAACAUUCGCCGGAACUCCGGGUCCUGGAAGGCCGAGGUGAGCCGCUGGACCUCCUCUCCGCUCAGGUCCAAGUCCUCCAGCGGCGAAGAGGCUGCCGCCUUGGCCAUGUUGCCCCGCGGCUCCUAGCCCUCGGGCGGGAGGAGAUGGACCCGAGACCAGGUGGGUGGGCCGCGCCGUGGAGUCGCUGGUCUGCGGAGAGUGGGGCGGCCCAGUUCGGUAACCGCCAGAGAACUGAGCCCGAGGCAGCGCGUGGUCGUUGCCAUAGUGACACCGCCACCAGCCGGGAGGAGGGGCAGGACUUGGAGCCGGCUGGUGGAAGCGCCACAGAUGGCCUCUUAGUUCCUUCACAUCAACCCACAACGCCACAUACUGCCUUUUAGAUUCCUGUGCCGUGGGGCAAUUGCUUCUGCAGAAUAACGGUCACAAUAAUUGUAAUUUCCAGCCUUUAUGUACGUUAUCGUAUUCACAAGCUGUAAUUCAAGUUUAAGUUUAUGUACACUUUUUACUUUACCAAACCGACAUUUCAGUUUUCUGGACAUUUCACCAUAAAGUUUGCCCUAUGACAACUCACAUUUGGGGCAAGAGCUAUGGGCAGGUUAUUCAUAAAUACCUAAUGAUCAAUAAGCAUACAGGACUUUUUAUUUUUAGUUUCUUUCUUUUUUUUUUUUUUUAUUUAGUAAUCUCUACACUCAACCUAGGGCUGAACUCAGGACCCCGAGAUCAAGAGUCGCAUGCUCCUCUGACUGAGCCAGCCAGGCCCCCCAGGACUUUAACAGUAAAAAUGCGAAUGUAAGAUCCCACAUAUUACCUAUCAAAAUGGCAAAGGCUGUUUUUACAAUUACUGUAUUUCCUUGGGGUGGUAGUAAAGCCUUUCUAGAGAGUAGUUUGGUAGCUGUAUAAAAGCCUUUAGAAGGUACAUACUCUUUUCAUCCAGCAAUUCUAAGAGCGUGCUCAAAGCAACAUUUCCCAUGAUUGUAAAGGUUUGGGAAGAAUCCAAGAAUUCAACAGUGGGACGGGGCGAGCAGAUUUUGCUAUAGCCAUACAGUGGGAUUUUAUGCAUUCAAAAGUAAUGUUAUAGAAUAAUAUUUAUUGACUAAGGUAGUUAUUAA